rnacentral:rRNA from 1 species
AGUGAACGCUGGCGGUAGGCCUAACACAUGCAAGUCGAACGGCAGCACAGUAAGAGCUUGCUCUUACGGGUGGCGAGUGGCGGACGGGUGAGGAAUACAUCGGCAUCUACUUUUUCGUGGGGGAUAACGUAGGGAAACUUACGCUAAUACCGCAUACGACCUACGGGUGAAAGCAGGGGUUCUUCGGACCUUGCGCGACUGAAUGAGCCGGUGUCGGAUUAGCUAGUUGGCGGGGUAAGGGCCCACCAAGGCGACGAUGCGUAGCAGGUCUGAGAGGAUGAUCGGCCACACUGGAACUGAGACACGGUCCAGACUCCUACGGGAGGCAGCAGUGGGGAAUAUUGGACAAUGGGCGCAAGCCUGACCCAGCCAUGCCGCGUGGGUGAAGAAGGCCUUCGGGUUGUAAAGCCCUGUUGUUGGGAAAGAAAAGCAGUAGGUGAAUACGCGGCUGUUCUGACGGUACCCAAAGAAAAAGCAACGGCUAACUUCGUG